rnacentral:tRNA from 1 species
AUAAAUGUAAGAAGAUCUUACAGAUAGUACUUGCAAUUUAAUGAUACAAUUUUAAUGUUUUUGGAGGGAU